rfam:Lupinus angustifolius cultivar Tanjil chromosome LG15, whole genome shotgun sequence.
AGGUGCGAUCAUACGAGCACUAAUGCACCGGAUCCCAUCAGAACUCCGCAUGAAGCGUGCUUGGGCGAGAUUAGUACUAGGAAGGGUGACCUCAUGGGAAGACCUCGUGUUGCACAUC